rnacentral:rRNA from 1 species
CUACGGGGGGCUGCAGUGGGGAAAAUUGGACAAUGGGCGCAAGCCUGAUCCAGCCAUGCCGCGUGAGUGAAGAAGGCCCUAGGGUUGUAAAACUCUUUCGCCAGGGAAGAUAAUGACGGUACCUGGUAAAGAAGCCCCGGCCAACUCCGUGCCAGCAGCCGCGGUAAUACGGAGGGGGCUAGCGUUGUUCGGAAUUACUGGGCGUAAAGCGCGCGUAGGCGGAUUGGUAAGUUGGAGGUGAAAUCCCGGGGCUCAACCCCGGAACUGCCUUCAAAACUGCCAGUCUGGAGUUCGGGAGAGGUGAGUGGAAUUCCUAGUGUAGAGGUGAAAUUCGUAGAUAUUAGGAAGAACACCAGUGGCGAAGGCGACUCACUGGCCCGUUACUGACGCUGAGGCGCGAAAGCGUGGGGAGCAAACAGGAUUAGAUACCCCAGUAGUC